rnacentral:snoRNA from 1 species
AUCCCAUGAUGAGGACAAGCUAAGAUAUAGUCCUGGAGACGUUCCUAUGCUUCUGUGACUGAUUCAUCAUGAUUCUACUAGAAACUUGAGAUACGGUUCUGAAGAG